rnacentral:rRNA from 9 species
AGACCCGAAACCCGGUGAUCUAGCCAUGGGCAGGUUGAAGGUUGGGUAACACUAACUGGAGGACCGAACCGACUAAUGUUGAAAAAUUAGCGGAUGACCUGUGGCUGGGGGUGAAAGGCCAAUCAAACCGGGAGAUAGCUGGUUCUCCCCGAAAGCUAUUUAGGUAGCGCCUCGUGAAUUCAUCUCCGGGGGUAGAGCACUGUUUCGGCUAGGGGGCCAUCCCGGCUUACCAACCCGAUGCAAACUGCGAAUACCGGAGAAUGUUAUCACGGGAGACACACGGCGGGUGCUAACGUCCGUCGUGAAGAGGGAAACAACCCAGACCGCCAGCUAAGGUCCCAAAGUCAUGGUUAAGUGGGAAACGAUGUGGGAAGGCCCAGACAGCCAGGAUGUUGGCUUAGAAGCAGCCAUCAUUUAAAGAAAGCGUAAUAGCUCACUGGUCGAGUCGGCCUGCGCGGAAGAUGUAACGGGGCUAAACCAUGCACCGAAG